CGCCUUCGCUAGGGGUCCUGGCAGCAAACUUUGCGCUGCCGGGUGAGAGAUACCCUCCGUACCUGAUCUGGAUAAUGCCAGCGAAGGAAAGCGCAAGACGGUGCCU
rnacentral:ncRNA from 2 species